rnacentral:rRNA from 1 species
AUGACCGCCGUCGUCAGUCCGCCUAUCCUCCCCGUCGCCGAGGGCGCCCCGAGCUGGGUCCUCCUCGACACCGCGGGAUACAUCGCUAAACGCGGCAACGCCACCUUCGCCAAGACCUUGGGGAGCAACGGCCAGCCCGUCGAGGUGACCUUCUGCACCGCCGCUCCGCCCCACGUCUCCCACUUCUGCGUCCACUGCCCCGGCCUGGUGCCCGCCGACUUCGUGGAGGAUCCCACGCUGAUCGGCGCGGAGGCCGACCUCGUCCUCUUCCGCCUCUGCGUCGACCCCCUGGCCGUCGCCGGCGAGCGCCUCUUCGACUACUUCCUCUACACGGCGCACCCUCGCCGCCCCUCGCUCCAGCUUCUCCCGCACCCCUACCCCAAUCUCUUCCACGACAGCGAGGUCGCCCUCCUGCGCUGCGGUGAGGAUGAUGAGUACGCCAUCGCCGCUCUCAGGAACAUCGAUGAUUACUUCACCGACGAGCCGCAGAUGUCCUUCAACCUUUACCUCUACCGCUCGUCCAGGGCCGGCGAGGGGUGGACUGCUAGGGUGGUGUCGGUGGAGGAGCCACUGAGGGACACCGUCUGCCCGGUGGAGGAGCCCAAGCGGUUUCAUGAGACGACCAAGGCGAUCACGCUCGGAGGCGGCGCCGUUGGCUGGGUUGAUCUCUGGCGUGGCAUCCUCGUCUGCAACGUGUUCGAUGAAAAGCCUGUGCUCCGGGACGUGCCGCUGCUGCUGCCGGCAAGGGGUAACUGGGAAAUCUACCACAGAUGUGGCCCUUACUUUGCUCGGGACAUCACCGUCAGCCCGCAGAAAGACGUCAUCAAGUAUGUCGAGGUUGAAAUUUGCCUGCCAAGGAAGCCGACUACUACAAAGACGACUGAAACCUGCCACCCCCCGGAGCCGGAGUCCUACCUGGAAUGGUUCCGCCAACAGCAGUGCGAAGACGACGACGACGACGACGACGAUGAAGACGUUGGUGGCUGGAAGGCCACAACAUGGAGCUUGCCUGUCCCUAUUGCUUCACGGGAGAACUGGCACUUUGACUACACCGUCGAUGUCGAUGACCUCACUGUCGUCGACCCAAUGCAUUGUAAGCUUCUUCCGAGGCCCCUGCAGCCCACAGAGGCAGAAGCAUUGCUGCCAAGACUUAUCACUGCUUUCCCCAUCAUGAGUAUGGACGAUGAUGUUGUCUACCUUUUGUCCAAGGCCAGCCCCAAAGACCAGAUGGAAGUAGUUAUUGCUGUUGACAUGAGGAGGAAGUUUCUGCAGGGAGUGGCCAAGCUUGUUACGGGGAAAGAUUUCACUUUCAUGCGCAGUUGCAUCAGCGAGAUCUCGAAAUAUAUUAAUUAUAAAUCUUCAGGGGAUGUUGCCAAAGCAUCGGCCAGUUUAUCUGCUGCCAGCAGAAGGGCUGCGGAUAAGGAAACAGAAGAGGUACGGCUGUUGGCAAAAGAAAUACCUUCUCUUCUCUUGGAGCUAGAGCUUCUCGGAUUAGAACAUCAGCACCGCGAUGCUGCCAGCGCUUGCUCAAGGAUGAAGGAUCAUGGCGCAGGGCAAAUGAGACGCAUGCAACCGAAUAUGGCUUUCAUGAGGAUGACACGAUUUGACUUUCAAGAGACGCACCGGCGGCAGUUCCACACCAACUUCUUGCACCAGGGCAGCGGCUCCGAUGCGAUAACCAUUUCAACUCCUCGCCGUCACCUUGGCGGCCACAUUCACUCCUCGGCAACACCUCAACGCUGCGCCGAGCUUCUUGUGCUCCUCGGCCGCCUUGGCCUCCUCCUCGGGGAGCUUCGUUGA